rnacentral:pre_miRNA from 1 species
AUGUAGGGCAAUCUGUCUUUAAGUAGGGAUAAAUUACUCUAAAAGAGAUGAAUCCUAGAUAGUUUUCCCUUCAAGUCAAGCAUCUUGU